AUCUUACCCGUACGGUUGCCUCGGCGCUGGCGGUCCGGAAGGCCCUCGGGCCCCCCGGAUCCUCGGGUCUCCCGCUCGCGGGAGGCUGCCCGCCGGAGUGCCGAAACCAAACUCUUGAUAUUUUAUGUCUCUCUGAGUAAACUUUUAAAUAAGUCAAAACUUUCAACAACGGAUCUCUUGGUUCUGGCAUCGAUGAAGAACGCAGCGAAAUGCGAUAAGUAAUGUGAAUUGCAGAAUUCAGUGAAUCAUCGAAUCUUUGAACGCACAUUGCGCUCGCCAGUAUUCUGGCGAGCAUGCCUGUUCGAGCGUCAUUUCAACCAUCAAGCUCUGCUUGCGUUGGGGAUCCGCGGCUGCCCGCGGUCCCUCAAAAACAGUGGCGGGCUCGCUAGUCACACCGAGCGUAGUAACUCUACAUCGCUAUGGUCGUGCGGCGGGUUCUUGCCGUAAAACCCCCCAAUUUCUAAGGCGGCGAGUGAAGCGGCAACAGCUCAAAUUUGAAAUCUGGCUUCGGCCCGAGUUGUAAUUUGUAGAGGAAGCUUUUGGUGAGGCACCUUCUGAGUCCCCUGGAACGGGGCGCCAUAGAGGGUGAGAGCCCCGUAUAGUCGGAUGCCGAUCCAAUGUAAAGCUCCUUCGACGAGUCGAGUAGUUUGGGAAUGCUGCUCAAAAUGGGAGGUAAAUUUCUUCUAAAGCUAAAUACCGGCCAGAGACCGAUAGCGCACAAGUAGAGUGAUCGAAAGAUGAAAAGCACUUUGAAAAGAGGGUUAAAUAGCACGUGAAAUUGUUGAAAGGGAAGCGUUUGUGACCAGACUUGCGCCGUUCCGAUCAUCCGGUGUUCUCACCGGUGCACUCGGGACGGCACAGGCCAGCAUCGGUUUUGGCGGGGGGACAAAGGCCCUGGGAACGUAGCUCCUCCGGGAGUGUUAUAGCCCAGGGCGUAAUGCCCUCGCCGGGACCGAGGUUCGCGCAUCUGCAAGGAUGCUGGCGUAAUGGUCACCAACGACCCGUCUUGAAACACGGACCAAGGAGUCAAGGUUUUGCGCGAGUGUUUGGGUGUAAAACCCGCACGCGUAAUGAAAGUGAACGUAGGUGAGAGCUUCGGCGCAUCAUCGACCGAUCCUGAUGUAUUCGGAUGGAUUUGAGUAAGAGCGUU
rnacentral:sRNA from 1 species